rnacentral:tRNA from 1 species
UUACAAGAACUGAUUUAUCAUAUAUGAUUUCGACUCGUACUUAGAUGUAUUUACAUCCUUGUAAU